UGGGGAAUAUUGGACAAUGGGCGCAAGCCUGAUCCAGCCAUGCCGCGUGUGUGAAGAAGGCCUUUUGGUUGUAAAGCACUUUAAGCGAGGAGGAGGCUACUUGGAUUAAUACUCUAAGAUAGUGGACGUUACUCGCAGAAUAAGCACCGGCUAACUCUGUGCCAGCAGCCGCGGUAAUACAGAGGGUGCGAGCGUUAAUCGGAUUUACUGGGCGUAAAGCGUGCGUAGGCGGCUUCUUAAGUCGGAUGUGAAAUCCCUGAGCUUAACUUAGGAAUUGCAUUCGAUUCUGGGAAGCUAGAGUAUGGGAGAGGAUGGUAGAAUUCCAGGUGUAGCGGUGAAAUGCGUAGAGAUCUGGAGGAAUACCGAUGGCGAAGGCAGCCAUCUGGCCUAAUACUGACGCUGAGGUACGAAAGCAUGGGGAGCAAACAGG
rnacentral:rRNA from 1 species